rnacentral:rRNA from 1 species
CCUACGGGGGGCUGCAGUGGGGAAUAUUGGACAAUGGGGGCAACCCUGAUCCAGCCAUGCCGCGUGUGUGAAGAAGGCCCUCGGGUUGUAAAGCACUUUCAGUGAGGAAGAACGCCUGGUGGUUAAUACCCAUCAGGAAAGACAUCACUCACAGAAGAAGCACCGGCUAACUCCGUGCCAGCAGCCGCGGUAAUACGGAGGGUGCGAGCGUUAAUCGGAAUUACUGGGCGUAAAGCGCGCGUAGGUGGCUUGAUAAGCCGGUUGUGAAAGCCCCGGGCUCAACCUGGGAACGGCAUCCGGAACUGUCAAGCUAGAGUGCAGGAGAGGAAGGUAGAAUUCCCGGUGUAGCGGUGAAAUGCGUAGAGAUCGGGAGGAAUACCAGUGGCGAAGGCGGCCUUCUGGACUGACACUGACACUGAGGUGCGAAAGCGUGGGUAGCAAACAGGAUUAGAUAUCCCUGUAGUC